UGGAUCAUUGCCACCAUUUUAGUCAGUGCUCUGUUGGUGGCAGUGGGACUGUAUCACUUUGGCAAAGGUUACUGGAAGAGAGAUGCCAGUGCAGUGAAUACAGACAUAGCAACGUAUGCUGUUGUAAGAAAAAACAGAAAGACUGAAGAAGCAGGAACCAGCAGAGAGAUGUCCUCAGGAAGUCCUUGCCAACCCAUCGCAGUGGAUCCCUUCUAUUCUGUAAUACAGUAGGUUGCAGAGAGAAAGCUGUCUAAAGACAUAAUCACAUCUAUGUGAGAAUGAAAACAAAUAAGUAACCCAGUUUUAUCACGCAUUGUUUUUGUUAUUAAUCAUGUUGUACAUUGUCAUCUGGGUUUGGUGUACGUGUCUAUAAACUGUUAUAGGUUUUCUUUUUUCCGUCAGAUACAGCUAGUUGCCAUUCCCGCGUGGUUAUAAAUACAUAUAUAGACUGAACCAAGCACAGACACCUGCCUCUUAUUUAGAAGUUGAACUUUAACCAAUGCAUUUGAUCUUCUUUCUGUUUUUACACAUGUAUGAAUGCUGUUACAAUAAAAGAGCUGCUGCAGCUUUCAAAGACACCCACUUUGGUCAACCGCUAAUGUCAAAGUAUCACAUUACUU